GACGUAGGGCGCGAGCGUUGUCCGGAUUUAUUGGGCGUAAAGAGCUCGUAGGCGGCUUGUUGCGUCGGCUGUGAAAUCCCGAGGCUCAACCUCGGGCCUGCAGCCGAUACGGGCAGACUAGAGUUCGGCAGGGGAGACUGGAAUUCCUGGUGUAGCGGUGAAAUGCGCAGAUAUCAGGAGGAACACCGGUGGCGAAGGCGGGUCUCUGGGCCGAUACUGACACUGAGGAGCGAAAGCGUGGGGAGCGAACAGG
rnacentral:rRNA from 1 species